GUGAGGAAUUUUCCGCAAUGGGCGAAAGCCUGACGGAGCAAUGCCGCGUGAAGGAUGAAGGCCUAUGGGUUGUAAACUUCUUUUCUCAGAAAAGAAUUAUGACGGUAUCUGAGGAAUAAGCAUCGGCUAACUCUGUGCCAGCAGCCGCGGUAAGACAGAGGAUGCAAGCGUUAUCCGGAAUGAUUGGGCGUAAAGCGUCUGUAGGUUGUUUAAAAAGUAUUCUGUCAAAGAUUAGGGCUUAACCCUAGAUAGGCAGAAUAAACUUUUAAGCUAGAGUUUGGUAGAGGCAGAGGGAAUUCCCGGUGGAACGGUGAAAUGCGUAGAUAUCGGGAGGAACACCAAAGGCGAAGGCACUCUGCUGGGCCAAUACUAACACUGAGAGACGAAAGCGAGGGGAGCAAAUGGGAUUAGAAACCCUAGUAGUCC
rnacentral:rRNA from 1 species